rnacentral:rRNA from 1 species
AGAGUUUGAUCAUGGCUCAGAUUGAACGCUGGCGGCAGGCCUAACACAUGCAAGUCGAACGGUAACAGGAAACAGCUUGCUGUUUCGCUGAUGAGUGGCGGACGGGUGAGUAAUGUCUGGGAAACUGCCUGAUGGAGGGGGAUAACUACUGGAAACGGUAGCUAAUACCGCAUAA